rnacentral:rRNA from 1 species
CCUACGGGAGGCAGCAGUGGGGAAUAUUGGACAAUGGGCGAAAGCCUGAUCCAGCAAUGCCGCGUGAGUGAAGAAGGCCUUCGGGUUGUAAAGCUCUUUUACCCGGGAAGAUAAUGACUGUACCGGGAGAAUAAGCCCCGGCUAACUCCGUGCCAGCAGCCGCGGUAAUACGGAGGGGGCUAGCGUUGUUCGGAAUUACUGGGCGUAAAGCGUACGUAGGCGGCUUUGUAAGUCAGAGGUGAAAGCCCACGACUCAAUCGUGGAACUGCCUUUGAGACUGCUUCGCUUGAAGAUGGGAGAGGUUAGUGGAAUUCCGAGUGUAGAGGUGAAAUUCGUAGAUAUUCGGAAGAACACCAGUGGCGAAGGCGGCUAACUGGACCAUUCUUGACGCUGAGGUACGAAAGCGUGGGGAGCAAACAGGAUUAGAUACCCUGGUAGUCCACGCCGUAAACGAUGAUAACUAGCUGUCGGGGCUCUUGGAGCUUCGGUGGCGCAGCUAACGCAUUAAGUUAUCCGCCUGGGGAGUACGGCCGCAGGUUAAACUCAAAGGAUUGACGG